rnacentral:rRNA from 2 species
UCAGGAAUAUUGCGCAAUGGGGGAAACCCUGACGCAGCGAUGCCGCGUGCGGGAUGAAGGCCUUCGGGUCGUAAACCGCUGUUGUGGGAGAAGAAGACCUCCGAAGAGGAGGGGAGACGGUAUCCCACGAGGAAGCCCCGGCUAACUACGUGCCAGCAGCCGCGGUAAUACGUAGGGGGCGAGCGUUGUCCGAAGUUACUGGGCGUAAAGCGCGUGUAGGCGGUUCCUUAAGUGAUUGGUGAAAUCUCCGGGCUUAACCCGGAGCGGUCUGGUCAUACUGGGGAACUGGAGUGCGGGAGAGGAGAGCGGAACUCCAGGUGUAGCGGUGAUAUGCGUAGAUAUCUGGAAGAACACCCGUGGCGAAGGCGGCUCUCUGGACCGCAACUGACGCUGAGACGCGAAAGCCAGGGGAGCGAACGGG